UACGGGGGGAGCAAGCGUUGUUCGGAUUUACUGGGCGUAAAGGGCGCGUAGGCGGUCAGCACAAGUCAGUUGUGAAAUCUCCGGGCUUAACUCGGAAAGGUCAACUGAUACUGUGCGACUAGAGUGCAGAAGGGGCAACUGGAAUUCUCGGAGUAGCGGUGAAAUGCGCAGAUAUCAGGAAGAACACCCGUGGCGAAAGCGGCUCUCUGGAACGGUACUGACGCUGAGACGCGAAAGCGUGGGGAGCGAACAGG
rnacentral:rRNA from 1 species